AUCAAAGACAAACUGACCACAAACCAAUACGUCCCUCGCUCUCAUUUUCAAGGCCGCAGAAAUGAAGAUUUUCGUAUGCUUUGUCCUUCUGUGCUGCUUUAUGUCGGUAAUGCUGGAGCCGCAAUUUACUACACAUCACACGGAAAUUGACGGCACCUAUGACUGUCUGCAGGAGAAUCCUCCCGAUUACGGAGAGUGCCACAAAGAGUGUUCGAGACGGAAAUAUACUGUCGGUGGGUGCAGCGAAGGGAAAUGUUUUUGCCUUUUAAUCGGUUAAAAAGUGUCGGUGUGAAAUUAAAACAAUUUGUCGGCCGAAUUCUGUGAAGUUAAUUUGUGUAUGUUGACAAAUAAAAGCAUAGAAGCGAAUACAAAUACAUUAA